CCAGGCGCAGUGGCUCAUGCCUGUAAUCCCAGCACUUUGGGAGGCCGAAGCAGGUGGAUCACUUAAGGUCAGGAGUUCAAGACCAGCCUGACCAACAUGGUGAAACCCCGUCUCUACUAAAAAUACAAAAA